GGAAGAGUUAGUGCCAAGGAGAUCUGAAUGCACAACUAAAGGUAUUCCUCCAGAAAGAUUUCAGAUUGGUCAAGUAAGUAAUGUAGAUAGUCAGGAGCAAUGGUCUGAGCCAAAUAAUUAUAAAGAAGUAAUGACCAGACCAGAAGAAGAAAAACAAGAAUGGAUACAAGCUAUGAAAAAGGAAUNUGAUUCUCUANNGAANCUGAAUGUUUUUACUGAGGUGUCUGCAGACANAGAUAAGAAACCCAUAGGGUGUAGAUGGGUAUUUAAACGUAAAACAUUACCUGAUGGUAAAUAUUUAUACAAAGCAAGGUUAGUAGCACAAGGAUUUGCACAAAAAUAUCUUGAAGACUAUGACCAAGUUUAUUCGCCAACUGUUAGACCAGAAACUAUUCGCUUAGCUUUAACUGUAGCUUGUAAAAAUAAAAUGAAAUUAAAGCAAUUUGAUGUAGAAACUGCAUAUCUGAAUGCAAAAUUAGAUGAAGAUCUAUUUAUGCGUAGUAUUCCAGGUUUUGAACAAGAGUGUAAGUCUGGUUUAUNUAAAUUAGAAAAGUCUUUGUAUGGUUUAAAACAAUCAGCAAGGAACUGGAAUUUGUGUUUGCAUGAUGCAUUGUGUAAGCAAAAUUUUAAAUGCAGUACAAUUGAUGCUUGUUUAUAUGUUAGAGGAAAACAAGAGAAACAUGUUCUAGUAUUGAUUUUUGUUGAUGACAUACUUGUGAUGUCUAAAUCAGAAAGUUUAAUUAGUCAAGUGUAUAAUUUACUCAAUAAGCAGUUCAAGAUCAAAGAUCUUGGUACACCACAGAAGUAUUUAGGACUUGAAAUUAGCUUCACUAAUAAGGGUAUGACUCUAAGUCAAACAACAAAGAUUAAACAAUUGUUGGCAAGAACUAAUAUGUCCGAGUCCAAGCCCAUAUCAACUCCUAUGUUAGCUAAUUAUCAAAAGGUUGAGAAUGAUGAACAAUUUAACAACGUUGACAUUUAUAGAUCAGUAGUUGGGAGUUUAAUGUAUUUAGCCAACUGGACUAGGCCAGAUAUCAGCUAUGCUGUACACACAUUAAGCAGAAAAGUGGACAGCCCUACUAAUAGCAACUGGCAAGCUGCAAAACGAGUGUUGAGAUAUUUAAAGAAAACACAAGACAUUGGAC
rnacentral:lncRNA from 1 species